rnacentral:lncRNA from 1 species
AUGUGCAUGCGUUUGUAUAUGCGCUUGUGUAUUGUAGAUGUUUGGCCUCAGCAUGCCAUUGUGCCUAACAGAAUCCAGAAGGAUAUUCGGGUAGGCUAUAAGCUCCGGGCCUUUACGCAGCCAAUCAAUUACAAAUGCUGUUUGGCUGAAGGCUGUGUCAGAAGGAAAGGAGGAGACAAAGUCAUUCCAGCCCUACCCCAGUGGUGGUGUACUCUACUCCAAGUAGGCCUAGGGAGGGAUAGCACUGGGUAAGACAUGGCCUAAAUGAAUGGGUCGUACACCAGCUUUACACUAUAUUUUACCAACACCCUUUGUUAACAUUUUCACAAUUGUUAAGUUCAGGUACAGUCCAAAUUUAAACUUUUAGUUUUGCUGGAUUGAAAAAAUAUAUACACCUCUCAUCAACAGAGAUUUAAAAAAAAAACAUUGAUGAAGCAUGUGUUGUAAUUUUAACAUUGUAAAUCUCUCUCGGACAAGGUGACUUUUGGCAAUAUAUUCGCCUGUAUUUACCCCCCAAAAAGUAUAUGCUAAUUAGCCACUAAUGUGGCUAUCAUACAAAACUACAGUACACACGCCUGUCACAAGCUUCACGUCAAUCACCAGGGCCAUGAUGAUCUAGACGAAACUACAGAAUAGAGGCAAAGGUAAGGAUAUCUGGAUUAACCUUGUAAUGUUAGCCAAAUUUGUUCAUGAAUAAAUGGGCUAAUUUUGUUUAAUUUGACAAUUCUGUGAACUGUCUUGGGCAAGUUUAGAAAUGUACACAAUACCUGUUAUCUAGCUCAGUCGUUCCCAAACUGUGGUGCGAGGGGUCGGCAGGGGGGCCUUGGGGAACUCAGUCCGGCUUUAAACUCGCUCUUGAAAGUUGUAAUAGUAGAAUGCACAAGGUGCAAUUUCGGAAUUGGGUAGUGCAUCGUCAGUUCAUUGCAUACCUUAAAGAGCUAUUUAUAACUUGUCAGAAAUGUCUAGAUCAACUAGCCCAUGUCAGCUAACGUUUUUUUUUUUUUUUUUUGCCCAGAGAUAUUGUUGUCAUUUUUUAGUCACUCAAAUAUCACAUGAAUACACAUAAGACAUGGCAAUAUGUAUAGAAUUGCAAGAAAAUGUACUUUAAAACUGCAACAUUUCCUUUGUCCUCGAUGACAAAAUGUGUUGAACUGCAAGAUAUAAGCUUUAAACCUGAAAGAAAAACUGAACAAUUUGUGUCAUGGACAGUGCUUGCCCACCUAGAAUUAGGGGUUAAAUUAAUUGGUAUUCACACAUUUGUUUUUGAGGUAGAAUUGCUGUCAUGUUAUUGAUUCCACAUUACAAACCUUAUUUGCUCCUUCUCUCUUCCAGAACCAAUGGGUGUGCCGAGUCUUAUCACCUCUCAACUAGGUAAGCUGUUUCAACCUGGAACACUAUUCUCCUGCUUUGGUCUGUUUCAGUCAUUGCAAGAAGUCCUGAAGAUCAGAAGUGUGUGAAGGGUUUUGUCCCAGUCCAGCUCUAACACAUGACUUAAAUAAUCAACUUAAUGAAUCACAAUGAUAGGCUAUGAUUUGUUAUCAGGUAUGAGCUGGGCUGGAACAAAAGCUUAAACACACUCCUGACAUUCAGAUCUGCAUCUAGGGGAGUAUUAGAUUGUAUUGACAUACAAUGCAUGCUCCACUCACAAGUUGAAAUUGAACUUGUUCAAGGCGGCGGCUGCUAAGAAGAAGGGAGCAACAGGCCAGAAGACUGCAGCCAAGGCAGCACUGGUCCACACCUUCCCUGUCUGUCGGGUCAGUGAGUAAUAUUGAUUGGCACUGUAUGUGCCUUUAGACUAUUGUACUGGCCUGUGUGGUACAGUCUUUCAUAUGUGUAGCAGUUUGUCGCAUUGUAUUGCUUAGCGUAUUAAUUGUGUCAACUUUAAAUGUAAUCUAAACCACAGGUUGAUCAUGUCCUCCAUUGACCUUUAUAGAUGCAGACCCCAAAGAUAUUCAAGCAGCAUUUUGAGAGCAAGCGUCCCAAGUCUCCAAUGGUCGUUUUACUGGUUGAUGUGCAGGCCUACAGCUGCGGUAAGACUCAUUCGCACACAGUAUAGUGUAAACCACCAUGCUGUCAGCGAAAUGCUGUCCUCACUGUUUAAAUUGUAUUGUGUAUGUCUCAAUGCUCUGAUCACUCAUCGUCUUUGAUGUUGUGAUUCACAGACACACGAUGACCACGAUUUUAAUGCUGUCAACUGAGACGGAAUGACGUCAAGGGACACACGCUGAGACCCUGAGUAUGACUGGACAUGGGAGGGCCAGAUAUUUGUGACAAUGAUCUAAAAUGGGUGCAGAA